CGGCACGGGGAGGUAGUGACGAAAAUACCGUUGCGGGUCUCACUCGAGGCCCCGCAAUUGGAAUGAGUACACUUUAAAUCCUUGCAUGAGGAUCGAGUGGAGGGCAAGUCUGGUGCCAGCAGCCGCGGUAAUUCCAGCUCCACUAGCGUAUAUUAAAGCUGCUGCGGUUAAAAAGCUCGUAGUUAGCUCUCUGUCCCGGACCGGCGGAGGUUAAACCCUGAGCGGCACCUUCCGUCCGGCCUCCGAGCUAUAAACCGUGUGCUGCUUUACGCGUAACGCUCGGGAUGCCCUUCACCGGGUGUCCCUUGCGGGCCACAGUUCCACUUUGAACAAAUAAGAGUGCUCAGAGCAGGCAAAGUCCCAUGCCUGAAUGGUGGUGCAUAGAAUGGAGAAAGAGGUCCUCGGCUCUAUUUUAUUGGUUUUCUGAGCCAGAGGAAAUGAUUAAUAGGGACAGACGGGGGCAUUCGUACUGCGACGAUAGAGGUGAAAUUCUUAGACCGUCGCAUGACGAACCACUGCGAAAGCAUCUGCCAAGGAUGUUUUCAUUAAUCAAGAACGAAAGUGAGAGGUUCGAAGGCGAUCAGAUACCGCCCUAGUUCUAACCCUAAACGAUACCAGCCAGCGAUCCGCCCGAGUUAAUCCCAUGACUCGGCGGGCAGCUUUCCGGGAAACCAAAGCUUUUGGGUUCCGGGGGAAGUAUGGUUGCAAAGCUGAAACUUAAAGGAAUUGACGGAAGGGCACCACCAGGAGUGGAGCCUGCGGCUCAAUUUGACUCAACACGGGGAAUCUUACCAGGCCCAGACACUGGAAGGAUUGACAGAAUGAAGGCUCUUUCUCGAUUCGGUGGGUGGUGGUGCAUGGCCGUUCUUAGUUGGUGGAGUGAUUUGUCUGGUUAAUUCCGAUAACGAACGAGACUCUUGCCUACUAACUAGUCGAUGGGCUCAGAAAGACCGCAGGUUCCCUUGCGCAAGCGAGGGCCGCCUCACAAGGGCGGUUUCUGCGGUCGAUUGUCCACUGUGAAUUGUAUGACGGAAGUAGCCGCGGCUUGAAGGGUUUGCAACACCGGGGUGGCUGUGGAGUGGCUGGCGGUGCCCUCGUGGUUUCCGUCGGUCCUCCCUCCCCUCGUGAGCUCCUUCUCCAACCGUGGUCUUCCAAUGUCAGAGCCCAUGGAGAUAUCUUCUUAGAGGGAUAAGCGGCAGCAAUACAAGUCUUAGCCGCACGAGAUUGAGCCAUAACAGGUCUGUGAUGCCCUUAGAUGUUCUGGGCCGCACGCGCGCUACAAUGGAGAGCGCAGCAAGCUAUCCCCUUCUCCGGCAGGAGUGGGUAACCUCUUCAAAGCUGUCCCUAAAGGGGACUGGGGUUUGAAAUUGUGCCCCAUGAACGAGGAAUUCCCAGUAGGCGCAAUUCACCAGAUUGCACCGAUUUAGUCCCUGCCCUUUGUACACACCGCCCGUCGCUACUACCGAUUGAAUGGCCUAGUGAGGGCAUUGGACUGGCGCCCUUGGAGCGGUCCCUUCUCUCUCCUCGUGGGAGGAAGGGGUUUACACUGCUCCUUGGUCUAAGACG
rnacentral:rRNA from 1 species